ACUAUUGGACAAUGGGCGAAAGCCUGAUCCAUCGACGCCGCGUGUGUGAAGAAGGCCUGGAAGUUGUAAAGCCCUGUCGGUGGGUAAGAAAAGCCUAGAGUUAACACCUCGGAGUCUCAACGUAACCCAUAGAAGAAGCACCGGCUAACUCUGUGCCAGCAGCAGCAGUAAUACAGAGGGUGCGAGCGUUAAUCGGAAUUAUUGGGCGUAAAGCGCGCGUAGGCGGCUUUGCAAGCCGGGUGUGAAAUCCCCAGGCUUAACCUGGGAAGGGCAUUCGAGACUGCACAGGAGAGUAUGGGAGAGGGAAAGGAAUUUCCGGUGUAGCGGUGAAAUGAGUAGAUAUCGGAAGGAACAUCAGUGGUGAAAGCAACUUCCUGGACCAAUACUGACACUCAUGUGCAAAGCGUGGGGAGCAAACACAAUUAGAUACCCUGGUAGUCCACACCAUA
rnacentral:rRNA from 1 species